rnacentral:rRNA from 1 species
UGUGACUAUAUGUUUAACGGCCGCGGUAUUCUAACCGUGCAAAGGUAGCGCAAUCACUUGUCUCUUAAAUAGAGACCUGUAUGAAUGGCAUCACGAGGGCUUAGCUGUCUCCUUUUUCAAGUCAAUGAAAUUGAUCUCCCCGUGCAGAAGCGGGGAUAGACCCAUAAGACGAGAAGACCCUAUGGAGCUUAAGACACCAAGGCAUCUCCCGUAAAACAACCUGAACAAAGAAUCAAACCUAAAAGAACCUAUGCC